rnacentral:rRNA from 1 species
CCUACGGGAGGCAGCAGUGAGGAAUAUUGGUCAAUGGGCUUACGCCUGAACCAGCCAAGUCGCGUGAGGGAAGACUGCCCUAUGGGUUGUAAACCUCUUUUGUCAGGGAGCAAUUGGCGCUACGUGUAGCGUUAUCGAGAGUACCUGAAGAAAAAGCAUCGGCUAACUCCGUGCCAGCAGCCGCGGUAAUACGGAGGAUGCGAGCGUUAUCCGGAUUUAUUGGGUUUAAAGGGUGCGUAGGCGGAAUGCCAAGUCAGCGGUAAAAUCGCGGGGCUCAACCUCGCUCCGCCGUUGAAACUGGCGGUCUUGAGUGGGCGAGAAGUAUGCGGAAUGCGUGGUGUAGCGGUGAAAUGCAUAGAUAUCACGCAGAACUCCGAUUGCGAAGGCAGCAUACCGGCGCCCGACUGACGCUGAGGCACGAAAGCGUGGGUAUCGAACAGGAUUAGAUACCCUUGUAGUC